GCGACUCAGCAAGACUCUAUCUCAAUGAAUAAAUAACACUGGCCUGUCAGGGCCCAAGGUGGAAAAGCGAGCUGGAAGUGAUUGGCUUCAUGACUCUGUCGGUUCUCCCCUGCCCUCCUCCUCAGCUCCCUGAUAAGGUUGUUCAAAUGGCACCGGCAUUAGUGCUGGAGUAGAGACCUGAAGGCCCCAUUUGUGUCUCUGGUUGGAGGGUAAUGGAGAGGUGUGGAUAGAUGGCCAUGGGAAACACUGCGUGGGCUCCAGAAGUGGCAAUUCACCAACUUGUAGUAAAGUAUUUUAAUAUUUUAAUGAUCGACAAAGCUGUUAACACUGUGUGCUAUCUGGAUAGAAGCCCUGUUCAUAGCACUGUGAGGUGGAGAUUAUAACCUCUGUUUUAUAGCUGUGGGAACUGAGGCCCAAGGAGAUUAAGUAAUUUUACUAUGGUUACUCAACUAGAAGGAAACAGGGAGAAAGGGAAACCUGAAGGUGAGCCAGGCUUUUAGAUGGCCAAGCACAGGCUUUUCCUGCUCCUCUAUGCAGCACCUGUUAGCCAGGACCACAUUUAUCCACCUCCUCAGUAUCUGGUCUGCUAAAUCAAGCUUAGAAAUAACCUUUGAUGGUCUCUCAUUCUGUGAGGUUGGCCUGGCUGGAAAAGUCCGCAAGAAGACCAUAGAAAGGGGUGCACCUCUACAAAGUGAAGGUUGUUACUGCCUUACCCACUCCCCUCCAAGCUUCAGGAGACCCUGGAUAUUUCCAGGCCAUACAAAACCCCUUCGAUGGCUGCUUUCCUGAAUGAGAUGGAAGUCUCUGAGACCCUCUUUUCUGAGACUGCUUUGGCAACAAGGAGUUGAAAUAUACUCUCCAGAAAGGAUUUUUUUCCCUUUUUCCUUUCCUUCCCAAAG